rnacentral:lncRNA from 1 species
GGUCCAUCCCACCCAGUGGCAUCUGUGACACACAGAAAUGAAAAAUCACGAUACCAGUAACAAAAAGAGUUGAUACUCAGGAACACCGACUCGAUUGCCAGCUGCCCCUCUAGUGCUGGAUGGGCAUCUUCUCCUUUAAUCCUCCUCAGGCGCUGUGAGGGAGGCAUGGAGGUCAUCAAAUGUAGUGGAUGUGAGCUUAGGAUAUAGAAUCAGCUGACCUGGCGUCGGAUGCCAGUGUCACCAUGAUAAACUCUAGUAUGUUAGGAAAAUUCUUGAAUGCUCCCCAAAUGGUGCUUCCGUCGCUCUUGGUCCUGUCGUCACUGGUGUGAUGACGCUGUUGAGGGUGCUGUCGUGCUCCCCUGUCUCACGGGGCAGCCGCUGUUUCCAUUGUCAGCUACUGUUGUUAGAAAGUUGUCCUUUUUUUGUUUUCAUUUCUUUUUCUGUGUCAAAAUCUCCUAUCUUACAAAAUAUACCCGUUCGUUCUAAAGUAGAUGUCAGCUAAUUCCUCUUCUACACGGCAGGCCUUCUCACACUUACUUAGCGAUUGUGCCCCCGAACUUCUCUUUUCCAGGGUGCAUAAGCCGCAUUUGAUCUGCAGUCUUUGGAAGGGACCUGUUUCCUGACCUCUGUCUACCCCUGGUUGCCCUGUCCUCAUGCACUAGAACACUCUGGCCUGAGGUCUGGCCAGGGUGAAGCACAAAGGAAGCCUGCUUGCUUUGGGUUUGUAUUUGAUGCUCCAGUUAAUACAGUCUGAGCAUCCUUUAGGUUGCAGAAUUCACAUAACACCUUUUGGUUGAUUUAGAGUUAAUGCCAAUAAUAUAAGGUGUUUUUUUUUUUUUUCAUGGAUUGUUUAAGGCAAUGCUCCAUCUCCUGUACUUCUGCAGCUGGUCUUUUGUUUCAAAAUCUGGUGCUUUCUUAUAGGCCCUGUUGAAUUCAUAAAAAUGAAUAGGGGUUGAAUGGGGAAAAUGUACUUUGUGCUGAGUACUUGGAUGUUAAGAGGGGUUGUGAUCAAACAGGAAGAGUUUCAUGAAUUCCUCUUCAUAUAUUAACUGAAUUCAUAGGCCUCAGAUCCCAAGCCUUCAAAGCCUCAUUCUGGAGUCAUUUUGAAGCUCGGUGAGUUUUACAUGAAAGAAUGCUGAAAAAUCAGUUGCCCUUGGCCCUCCCGUUGGGUAGGCAACUGAGAGUGAGCUUCCAGCCUGUGUAGGGCAUCUUUAAUUUUGUCAGGUGACUAAAUGUGCAGCUCUGCAGCAGGCGUCCGCCAGCUGUGCCCACAUGGCCCACUCAAAUGGACUGCUUUUCAGAGAACAGACUGGGCUCAUCUACCUUGUCUUGGUGCUAAAAUGCCAUGCCAAAAUAUCAUCAUUGGGUUUGAACAUGAGCAUGAAAUCUCCAGCCUCCAAGGGGAGGCGGCUGUGCUUGACAAAGGCCACUCUCAUCGUUCGGGCCAACAGGCUACUUCUGGGGAGGGCCGUGCCCACCGCUGGGCGUGGUACAACAUUGGCUAGGGCCAGGAGCUAACCAGAAGUCCUGCUGAGGAGGCCAGCCAUCUGUCUGCUUACCUUUUAGCUGCAUUUCCUCUCUGUAUUCUCAUGGGUGCUGGUAAGCCCUUUAAGCUUCACUGACCUAUUCUGCCUGUGAGCUGGGAAGCCCCUGCAGGUUCUUAACUUAACCUGAGAGCUUUUCAGAUGCAUCUCCAUGGAAAUGUCUUCUCUUGCUAACAGGCCUUGGUUUGGAUUGUAAUCCCAGAAAACUGUGAAAUGUGCUUGUUGUAUCUGCUGUUUCUGAGAGGUGGCAUAGAGAUCUAAUAGUUGGGGAGCUUAAGACAAGUGGCAAUGAAGAGAAUUUAUCCAGCAGCAUCUGUCAUACUAACAUCCACGCAACCCCAUUGCCGGACCUAGAAAACGACACGCGGCUGGAAGGCGAGGACCCCAUCCCUUCCCGGUCCUGGUGGCUGUUUAAUGUUGGGAAGGGACACAAGUUCAGCGCAAGAAGGAGUACAAGGUUGUAAGAGGUUAUGCAAGUGGGUGCUCAGGACUUUGGUACAGGCUCUAGAGAGAGAAUACCCUAUGGGCCAGAAGGCAGGGCAGCAUCUGGGCUUUCGAGCUGUGUAGGGUUAAGAGUGGUACGAGGAAUGGUGAGAUCUGGGAAUGAGGAUGCAUCAUUGGGAAAACCAGGCACACAGACGUACAAGCAAGCACCUCAACACAUCACAGAAGAUAAAAGCCAGCGGUAUUCAGUCCUCCCUUAAUUUUCCAAUAACUAAAAGCUGCAGGACCACUGUUGCCAAUGGUGAUGGGACACUAGCAUCUUUCUAGUAAGACCUUCUUUCACUGCCCAACAAGAUGGACAGUAUCCCUUUUUCCCAAUAGGAGGGACAGUAUCUCUUUUCAAAGCCAGAGUAGCUAUUUACAUCUACUAACACUUGUCUGAAAGAACAUCUGGAAAAACCAUCAAAAUAGUGGGUGACAUAUCCCAAUGGCUGGCCCACAGAAGGUGAAAGUCACCUAUAUUGUUUAUAAUUUCUAGAGCCCUUGCCGUGUGCCGAACACUCUCCCAAGAGCCAUGUGUAUAUGUGCAUCGUUUCAGCUAAUCCUCACGACGACCUCUGAGGGUAGGUAACGUUAUCAUCCCCAUUCACAGACAGAACAAGGUACCGAGAGACUGAGGGCAGAGAAUGAAUAAAUAAUGGAAUGAGGCUGUGAGCCAGGCAUUCUGACUCCAGGAUAAGAACAGCAUUUAAACGAUCUUCUAUAUGUAAUAAAAUCAUCGAAUCUGCACGGCGGUCAACCACUUGCAAAUAACUUUCUCACGUGAGGGCUCCUUUGUCCUUCACAACUUUUCUGGGAAAUAAAGAGUAUCGUGGUUAUAAGAAGCCAGGGCAUAUGUGUGCAUCAAUUCCUUUUUGAAGACUGUGAGUCUGUUUCUGUUUUGUAAAUAAGUUCAUUUGUAUCAUUAGUUUAGAUUCCGCUUAUAAGCGCUAUCAUGUGAUAUUUGUCUCUGUCUCACUUCACUUAGUAUGACAAUCUCUAGGUCCAUCCACGUUGCUGCAAAUGACAUUAUUUCAUUCUUUUUUAUGGCUGAGUAAUGUUCCAUUGUGUAUAUGUACCACAUCUUCUCUAUCCAUUCAUCUGUCAGUGGACAUUUAGGUUGUUUCCAUGUCUUGGCAAUCGUGAAUAGGGCUGCAAUGAACAUAGGAGUGCGUGAAUCCUGUAUAACUGGAUCACCUUGCUGUACACCUGAAACGAACACAACGUUGUAAAUCAACUCUACUCCAAUAUG